CACCCAACAGCUAGCC
rnacentral:rRNA from 1 species